UGCAUGUUUUACACCAUCAAGGUGGAUUACAAAAAGGGGGCUUCUAUGGAUGUCAGUGAUGCCGAGGAAUAAGUUUUUUAUUUUUAGGUUAUCUUGUUAGCCACAGUUAUCCUUUGCCUUGAUUUUUUUGUUUUCAUUUUUGGGAAAAGAUUUAUAUCUGAAACUCGAUUUACAAAUGUAAGAAAAUUUUGUAUUCUGAUAUAAUUAGCCCACUUAUUAAUUCUGUCACACUCUCUCUUUCUAAAGCCGUGACUGUUCAAACUGAAGAGAAAAGCCAUAUUAAUGGUAAUUGUUAUAAGGUGAUGAACAAGUCCAAAUGACUAGGGAGUGUUUUUAUUUAGUUCCAAAAUAAAAUGUACCUUUUUCACUUGAAUUAUACAUUUAAAAUAAGUAGAUAAAAUUAAGAAAAAGCUCUGUGCCUUUAUAGACUUAUCAAUAUAACUUUGUGGAUGAGAGUUGACAUGGUCAGAUAACAUCAUAUCAGAUACAUAAGAAGAUUAAAUCAGUCUUCAUUUGAUAACCUUGAAACUGGAUUUUGAUUGGUAAUAUCUCGUUCAAUAUCAGCAGUUGAGGGAGUAGAGUCUACCGAAAAUGGUUGAUCUAUUGGACUUGCAUCAUUGCUAGUUAAGGAAGAAGUAACUGAGAAGAGGAAGAAGAAAUUGAGAUGCUUUUGGAAAACUACCUCCAAAGACAAGACUUGAAAGUAUAACUGCAAGCAAGACUGGACAAUUUGCUGUCGUUCUGGAGGUUUUCAAAGUUGCGUCAGCUCUCUUCAUGGUAGAUGUCCGAAAAGCUGCUGGGGACACUCUUGAAUAUCACAAGGUUUUUGGUGGAAAUAUUAGCAAGGAUCAUUGCCAAGUGAAUUAAUUUGCUUGAUUAUUGUUAAUUGCAAGAGGAGGAUUUUAGUCCAAUUUUAGGGAAACCUCUGUCGAAUUUUUUCUAGGAAAUGGAUAAGAGUUGGAUAACAAAGGACAGACUUUCAAAAGAGUAUGAAGAGGGAGUCGACAACUUUAUUAAGUUAGCGUUAGAAAAUACAACAGAUCCUUCCACCAAUGAAGGACUUCGUGACAAAUGAGUUUUCAAUGCGAUGGCUAACUAGUAAUUGUGGCGGGAAGAACUAUUACACAAAGGAUGAGAUCAAUGAAGUACGUGAAGAAUGGGCACAAUGCGUCAUGGAUUUGAUGAGUACUACAUAGGUCCACUCACUUUUGUUAACUUAGACUUUUAAUGAGAUAUACUUACAAUGUUAACUUAGACUUUCUUGAAGAUAUACACACUUUUGUUGCCUAACUAUAGUUUACAAUGCUUAUGUGAGUCAUUUUGUAAUUAACUUAAGACUCGUUAUUUUAGAUACUUAGUUCAAA